GGCGCGCCCCGGGCGGGGCGGGGGCACGGGGGGAACGCGAAGAACCUUACCUACCCUUGACAUGUCAGGAAUCCUGGAGAGAUUGGGGAGUGCUCGAAAGGGAACCUGAACACAGGUGCUGCAUGGCUGUCGUCAGCUCGUGUCGUGAGAUGUUGGGUUAAGUCCCGCAACGAGCGCAACCCUUGUCAUUAGUUGCUACGAAAGGGCACUCUAAUGAGACUGCCGGUGACAAACCGGAGGAAGGUGGGGAUGACGUCAAGUCCUCAUGGCCCUUAUGGGUAGGGCUUCACACGUCAUACAAUGGUACAUACAGAGGGCCGCCAACCCGCGAGGGGGAGCUAAUCCCAGAAAGUGUAUCGUAGUCCGGAUUGCAGUCUGCAACUCGACUGCGUGAAGUUGGAAUCGCUAGUAAUCGCGGAUCAGCAUGUCGCGGUGAAUACGUUCCCGGGUCUUGUACACACCGA
rnacentral:rRNA from 1 species